UUGGCCCUUCUGACUUCAGUUUGAGGGGGUAAAGGGCUUGCUGCAGGAGAAAACUCUUCAGAGAAAAGCAAACGUUUUCCUUUUUGCUACAGCACCUUGGACUGAAGCGGCAGACACGGGGUACCCCUGGAUUAAGAGGCGAUGAUCUGGUGUGGCAUUGCUGAAACCUGAGUGGACCCUGGCUCCUCCUCACUACCUCCCUGACUUAUGGCAACUCCUCACCCGUUCCUGAAGGCUACCGGAGUGACACCUUCGAAUGGACAAGAUCAAGGCUUUAUCACAGAGCCCUGUACUAAUUCCUAACUUCCCACCAGGGAGAUGAACCGCGUCUGUUGGCCCACUUGUAAGGGAGUCUGGGCAUAACAUGAAUGGACCAUCUAAAACGCACAAUCAAGAAUAGAUGGUUAGAAUUCCAGCAGAAGCACCACUACCCUAAGCACACAAAUAUAUAAAUUUUAAAAAACAAAACUCAAAAAAUUCCACCAAAAAAAAGCCAUCUCCAAUUACCCACAACCACACUACCUAAUGUAAUAACAAAGACCCCACGUCCAACACCUUUAAUGAAACCUCUAAAAUCUAUGCCAAAAACCCCAUAAAACUAAAAAAACCCUUGCCUUUAACCAAAUAAGAACAAAAAAAAAAGUCUUAUAAACUAUACCAAAUUAUUAACCUAAGCAUAUCAAAUCCACCCAAGUAUAAAACCUGAUCACCGGUACACAGUACACACUAAUUUCAUCACAACAUGUAAAACAAAACCUAUUUCUAUUACUAAUGUAAUAAAAACUUCACAAAAUUUAACUGCAAUAAAACCUUAAAAUCUCACUAAAAAUAAAAUUUUAGAAUUCUAUUAUAACCUGAAAACUCAUACAUUCUAAACAUGAACUUUCUGCAAAACAAAUAUUUCUAAAACCCAAAAAUCUCAAAUACACAUUAAAAAUAACUACUAUACAGCCAAAAAACAUAAAACAAUUAAACACCUGACUUCAACUAUUGAA